rnacentral:rRNA from 1 species
GUGUCAGCAGCCGCGGUAAUACGUAGGAGGCAAGCGUUGUCCGGAUUUACUGGGCGUAAAGCGCCCGCAGGCGGUCAAGCAAGUUCGGAGUGACAGUUCCCGGCUUAACUGGGAAAGUGGUUCGAAAACUGUUUGACUUGAGGGCUUGAGAGGAAUGCGGAAUUCCAGGUGGAGCGGUGAAAUGCGUAGAGAUCUGGAGGAACACCAAAGGCGAAGGCAGCAUUCUGGCAAGUACCUGACGCUCAGGGGCGAAAGCUAGGGGAGCGAACGGGAUUAGAUACCCGAGUAGUCC